rnacentral:rRNA from 1 species
AUGAACGCUAGCGGCAGGCUUAACACAUGCAAGUCGAGGGGCAGCGUGGAGCAGCAAUGCUCUGACGGCGACCGGCGGAAGGGUGCGUAACACGUGAGCGACUUGCCCGUCACAGGGGGAUAACCGGCGGAAACGGCGACUAAUACCCCAUACGAUGUGAUGCUGCAUGGCAUUGCAUUGAAAGAUUCAUCGGUGGCGGAUAGGCUCGCGGGACAUUAGCUAGACGGCGGGGCAACGGCCCACCGUGGCGACGAUGUCUAGGGGUUCUGAGAGGAAGGCCCCCCACACUGGGACUGAGACACGGCCCAGACUCCUACGGGAGGCAGCAGUGAGGAAUAUUGGUCAAUGGGCGGAAGCCUGAACCAGCCAUGCCGCGUGAAGGACUAAGGCCCUACGGGUCGUAAACUUCUUUAGACGCAGAGCAAUAAGGUCCACGCGUGGACCGAUGAGAGUAUGCGUAGAAUAAGCAUCGGCUAACUCCGUG